UACGUAGGGUGCAAGCGUUAAUCGGAAUUACUGGGCGUAAAGCGUGCGCAGGUGGUCAUGUAAGACAGAUGUGAAAUCCCCGGGCUUAACCUGGGAAUUGCAUUUGUGACUGCAUGGCUAGAGUGUGGCAGAGGGGGAUGGAAUUCCGCGUGUAGCAGUGAAAUGCGUAGAUAUGCGGAGGAACACCGAUGGCGAAGGCAGUCCCCUGGGCCUGCACUGACACUCAAGCACGAAAGCGUGGGGAGCAAACAGG
rnacentral:rRNA from 1 species